ensembl:lncRNA
UGAAUAUAACUAGAAAAAGCAUUUCCUGCUGAAAAUGCGUUGGAAUGCAAAAAGCUGAAAGCUGCACUGAAUAUUUGAAAAUAGCUGAAAAUACAGAAAGUUGAAGGGAAUUUGAAUACAUUUGCUGAAUAUUUAAAAAUAGCUGAAAAUACAGAAAGUUGAAGGGAAUUUGAGUACAUUUGCUGAAUAUUUGAAAAUAGCUGAAAAUACAGAAAGUUGAAGGGAAUUUGAAUACAUUUGCUGAAAUAAAAGAUAUUAGAAAAGCUGAAAUUAAUUUGAAAUAGCUGAAAAUACAGAAAUGGGAGAAGCUGAAAGGAAUUUCAAUAGAUUUGCUGAAAAAGCAGAAAUGAAAACAGCUGAAAUAAAUGUGAAAUAUUGCAAAACAGAAGUUGCAGGAGCUUAAAUGAAUUUUAAAAAGGACAGAAAUAACAAAAGCUGAGAUGAAUAAAAAUAGGUUUAAAAUUGUUUGUAGUAAUGUUAGUUGUAAUUUGGGUAUCAGUACUAGCAGUAGAAGUCGGUUUAGUAUCAAUAGCAGUAGAAACAGCUGGAAUACUGAUACUAUUAGCCAUAGUAGUAUUUUUAAUAACAUUAGUAGUAGUUGUAUUAAUAGCAGUAGAAAUACUAGUAGUAUGGUAGUAGAAGUAUCAGUUGUAGUUCUACUAGAAGUACUAGUAAUAUUCGUAGUGGUUAUAGUAGUAUUUGAAAGAGCAAUGCGUAUUUCAACGAAACCGCUUCAUGGUUAAGGUACAGAUAAUCAUUGAGGCUUUUAGUUUGUAAUGAUGGAAUUGGGUGAGGGGGGGUUGGGAGACAGAAUGUUUGUUAUUCAAACUAAGAAGUUUUUAAUUAAUA